AUUGAACGCUGGCGGCAGGCCUAACACAUGCAAGUCGAGCGAGCGGCGGACGGGUGAGUAAUGUAUGGGGACUUCCCGAUAGAGGGGGAUAACUACUGGAAACCGUGGCCAAUACCCCAUACUGUCGGAUAACCCAUAUGGGAUUAGCUAGUAGGUAAGGUAAUGGCUUACCUAGGCGACGAUGCCUAGCUGGUCUGAGAGGAUGAUCAGCCACACUGGGACUGAGACACGGCCCAGACUCCUACGGAGGCAGCAGUGGGGAAUCUUGCGCAAUGGGCGAAAGCCUGAUGGAGCCAUGCCGCGUGUGUGAUGAAGGCCCUCGGGUUGUAAAGUACUUUCAGUCGGGAAGCGUUACCGACAGAGAAAGCCCCGGCUAACUCCGUGCCAGCCGCCGCGGUAAUUC
rnacentral:rRNA from 1 species